rnacentral:rRNA from 1 species
UACAGAGGGGGCAAGCGUUAUUCGGAAUUAUUGGGCGUCAAGGGCGCGUAGGCGGCCUGGCAAGUGGAAGGUGAAAUCCCUCGGCUUAACCGAGGAACUGCCCUCCAAACUGCUUGGCUUGAGUCCGGGAGAGGUGAGUGGAAUUCCCAGUGUAGCGGUGAAAUGCGUAGAUAUUGGGAGGAACACCAGUGGCGAAGGCGGCUCACUGGACCGGAACUGACGCUGAGGCGCGAAAGCGUGGGGAGCAAACGGG